GCUAUUGGAAUUCGAUUAAGACAUGCGAGUCGAGAGUCGCAAGGACUCGGCGGACCGCUCAGUAACACGCGGAUAACAUGCCCUUGGGUGGGGGAUAACCUCGGGAAACUGAGAAUAAUACCCCAUAGAUCUAGAAAGCUGGAAUGCUUUUAGAUCGAAAACUCCGGUGCCCAAGGAUUGGUCUGCGGCGUAUCAGGUUGUAGUGGGUGUAACGGACCCCCUAGCCUAUGACGCGUAAGGGCCUUGAGAGAGGGAGCCCUGAGAUGGACUCUGAGACAUGAGUCCAGGCCCUACGGGGCGCAGCAGUCGCGAAAACUUCACAAUGGGGGAAACCCCGAUGAGGGAAUUCCAAGUGCCAGCACAUUGUGUUGGCUGUUCUCUGGUCUAAAAAACCGGAGAAGUAAGGGCCGGGUAAGACGGGUGCCAGCCGCCGCGGUAAUACCCGCGGCCCAAGUGGUGGUCGAUAUUAUUGAGCCUAAAACGUCCGUAGCCGGUCUUGUAAAUCCUUGGGUAAAUCGACCAGCUCAACUGUUCGAAGUCCGGGGAGACUGCAAGACUUGGGAUCGGGAGAGGUGAGAGGUACUUCUGGGGUAGGGGUAAAAUCCUGUAAUCCUAGAAGGACCACCGGUGGCGAAGGCGUCUCACUAGAACGAAUCCGACGGUGAGGGACGAAGCCCUGGGGCGCAAACGGGAUUAGAUACCCCGGUAGUCCAGGGUGUAAACGCUGCGGGCUUGGUGUUGGGGGUCCUUUGAGGGCGCCCAGUGCCGGAGAGAAGUUGUUAAGCCUGCUGCUUGGGGAGUACGUCCGCAAGGAUGAAACUUAAAGGAAUUGGCGGGGG
rnacentral:rRNA from 1 species